UGGGUUCAGUGACUACAGACC
rnacentral:miRNA from 1 species